rnacentral:rRNA from 1 species
GAUGAACGCUAGCUACAGGCUUAACACAUGCAAGUCGAGGGGCAGCACAGUGUAGCAAUACACGGGUGGCGACCGGCGCACGGGUGCGUAACACGUAUCCAAUCUGCCCGUUACUCGGGGAUAGCCUUCUGAAAGGAAGAUUAAUACCCGAUGGCAUGUAUUUCCGGCAUCGGAGAUACAUUAAAGAUUUAUCGGUAACGGAUGAGGAUGCGUACGAUUAGCUGGUUGGCGGGGUAACGGCCCACCAAGGCUACGAUCGUUAGGGGUUCUGAGAGGAAGGUCCCCCCACACUGGAACUGAGACACGGUCCAGACUCCUACGGGAGGCAGCAGUGAGGAAUAUUGGUCAAUGGUCGAGAGACUGAACCAGCCAAGUAGCGUGAAGGAUGACUGCCCUACGGGUUGUAAACUUCUUUUGUUUGGGAAUAAAUGAUACUACGUGUAGUAUUUUGCAUGUACCUUACGAAUAAGCAUCGGCUAAUUCCGUG